rnacentral:rRNA from 1 species
UACGUAGGGUCCGAGCGUUGUCCGGAAUUAUUGGGCGUAAAGGGCUCGUAGGCGGUUUGUCGCGUCGGGAGUGAAAACACCGGGCUUAACUCGGUGCUUGCUUUCGAUACGGGCAGACUGGAGGUAUGCAGGGGAGACCGGAAUUCCUGGUGUAGCGGUGAAAUGCGCAGAUAUCAGGAGGAACACCGGUGGCGAAGGCGGUUCUCUGGGCAUUACCUGACGCUGAGGAGCGAAAGUGUGGGGAGCGAACAGG